AGUCAGAUGUUGGGUAUGUUUGCUGCAAAUCUAUUGGUUAUAAGAUAUAACAGCCUUUUCUAAUUGGCUGAAUUCAAAUACAGAAAGUUUACCUGUUAGAUUGAAACAUGAAACAUGGUGGACAAUGUACUGGUUUAACUUGUUAAAAUAAAGUUAAAGAAAUUUAACAAACAGAAGAGUUCAUUAGUUUUUCCAUUAAAAACACUUUCUUCAAAUACUUAUGUAUUUAUAUCAUUUGGAAAGUGACAUGAAAUAUUGUUAAAGAGUGAUGCAUACAGUGUUUGAGCAGGCUGUCUAGGAAUAGAACAACAACUGAAGUUGAUGGAAGAUACUGCAGAGUUUGGCAGGGAAAUAAUCCAACAGCAAAGCGGCUCUUUAAGCGCAUUUACCUAGAGGACUUACAGGGCUACAAAUUCAUGAGCACAUGUGAGCAGUAUACAAUGUACCUCAUACCAAAAAGGACCCGGAGGCAGUGACUGGUGUUCAAUAUUCUCAGAAGAAAAGGAAAAUGGCAGUGGAAGACUUGGACAAACAUUUUUAGCCUCUGUGUUAAGCCUGGCAGUCUGUGGCUGGUGACAUGUUUUAUUUUGGUUACUUCUUGUAAAAAAAAGACCAGUUAUUUAUUUUGUGAAUUGUAUUUUGUGUUUGUUUUUUGUCUUAAUUUAUUUGUUGUUUUUUUUAAUUUAGGAAUUUGAAACUUGGAUAAUUGAAUUAAGUCCGUGUUCAACAGUACUGAGCAUAGUAUAAUAAAUAACAAAUUUACAACAGUUGUUAAUUUGUUAUGUAUUAUUAUUAACUAUGCUCAGUACUUGAAUACUGGCUGUCUGCAUGGGAAUUUGUUUUCUAGAAAGUUGGUUUCAGACUUAAAUAUUUGAAGUUAACCUUCGGAACUUUUCUAGAAUUGUACUGGAACACAUCAACUAGAACUGAACUUCUGUUAUCUUACUGAAAGUGUUCUAGAAUUAAUAAGGAACAGUUGUUGAACGUUAAAAUUUAUGAGAAAAAACUCUAGAACAAUUGUGUGUGAUGUGUGUGUGCAUGUAAUUGUGUGUGUUUAUGAACAUAUGUGAGAAAGGAAGUAUACUUGUCAUAAGAGAAAUGUAAAAUUCUACUUCUAUGUUUUAUAUUGUGCCUUUUAUAAGUUUUUCUGUUCUCCCCUGUAUAUGCGUGCAUGUUUAUGGAUGUGUUUUUGAAUGUGUGCAUGCAUGCCUGUGGUUAAGAGAGUUGGUACUUUAUGAAAAUGUAAAACCACUCAUUUUUGAAUAUGUACUGUGACUGCAUGUGUGUGGUAAAUGAUUGAUGCCAGAUCUUGUUCUUGCUUAACUUCUAUGAUGAAACCUUUAGUUACAUUCACAUUUGUUUUUCAAAAUCAAUAAAAUGCCUUUGAUCUAUAA